UACGAAGGGUGCUAGCGUUGUUCGGAAUCACUGGGCGUAAAGCGCGCGUAGGCGGCUUUUCAAGUCAGGGGUGAAAUGCCUGGGCUCAACCCAGGAACUGCCUUUGAAACUGUUAAGCUAGAGUGUUGGAGGGGAUGGCGGAAUUGCUAAUGUAGAGGUGAAAUUCGUAGAUAUUAGCAGGAACACCGGUGGCGAAGGCGGCCAUCUGGACAACAACUGACGCUGAGGCGCGAAAGCGUGGGGAUCAAACAGG
rnacentral:rRNA from 1 species